ACCAUAUAAUUAUAUGCUUGAUCAGAGGCCACGGCUACUACACUGUAAAAAGAGAUGUGCCAUUAUAGCACGCGUGUAGCGUGUUACACAUGUGCCAAACUGCUUAAAGUGUGUUAUUUACCCUCUAGAAAAGUUUAUCACAGCUAAAAGUAUGUCGUUUUAACCCACUGAAUGAAAACGACCCAUUACACAUGUGUCGUUUCUUAUGCACAUUACAUAUAAACAUGAUCGAUUGUUACAAGUGAUAACACAAUCACUUGUAAAAAUCAUACUUCAUAUGUCCCUGGCAACAAAUGUGACAUAGCAACGAGUGAGACUGUUUAAAUGGUAGCUUGCUAGUUAGUUCAACCAAGUAUAGUACAGUACAGUCGAGACAACUGUUCACUUCAAAGAAUUGAACUGCUGGAACCACCCUCAACUCUGAAACUACCCAGUUUUUCAGUGAAUUGAUAGACUCUACUUGUUUUUUUGGCUUAUGAGUCAGUAAUUCUCCUUUCUCAACAAUGGCAGACUCCUUUGAUUGUGAUAGUGUACGAAACAGAGGGGCUCAAAGGUAGGCCUUCCUAACCACCCUCCAAGUGAGCUAGCUGUCUGAAUCUUAAUACUAGUCCCUGUCAGGGCACACAUUUGAGGUAAACGUGCUAAUUCAGCACAGUGUGCUGUUUUCAGUACCAAAUAAGGGCAUGCAGUACAACAGAUGUGCAGUUGCAGCUACAUAGCAACAAAGAUUUUUUUUUUGCUGUUCUUGCAAAGAAGAAAAGAAGUUGAGUUUAGACAUGGUUUGAGAGCUGUUUGAAAAACUGUGGAACUAGGUAAGUUUCCCUCAACAUGCUGAACAAUGCUGUACAAUGUAAUUGCACAGCUAUUGUAUUGUACCAGGUGUUGUACAGUACACAGGGGAGCAUCUGUACAAUUAAUUGCACAGCUAUUGUAUAAUAAUUAUUGUACCAAUUGUACCAGGGUGUCAUACAGUACACAGGGGAAGUAUCCCCCCUGGCUCCAACCCCCCUCCCCCCCUAAAAUUCAGGUAUUAGUAAUGUUGUAUGACUGAGUAUCCGUAGUCUGUAUAGCUACUAACCAGGGUAUUGAAAUAACAUGCAGUUGACUUUUUUUAAAAGAAUGCCUUAUAUUUCCCCCCUCUACUUUAAAAUCCUGUAUGACACCCUGUAAUAACUCUACAAUAAUUAUAAUAAUUAUGCAGGAAGGACAAGCAAGUAAAAGGUUGAAUGGGGGCUCAACAAAGUGGAGACCAAUUGAAGCCUAUAUUGCCCAAGUUUAAUAGCACAAUAAGUGAUGCUGAGAAGUCAAAGGCAGUAUCUUGCAAUUGCAGUGAUCUGAGUGCAGACUUGCUAUGUAGGCCUUCCUAACCACUCCAAGUGAACUAGCUGUCUGAAUCUUAAUACCGGUCCGAAAUAGCUAUGAAGUACAAGUUCAAAGGACUGUAAAGACUCAUAAUUAACUGGAUACAUGCAUGCAAGUUUUGCAAACACUUCUGAACACUUUUGUUUCAUUUUCAGUUACUAUAAUUAUGCUAUAGCGCUAUAUACACU